rnacentral:lncRNA from 1 species
GGGAUGCUUCCCUGGAGCCAAUGCAUUAUUUUGGCAGCAGACGAAGAUAUUUUUAUUCUCUCAGGAAUUUGGGCAGCAGCUUUAGCAUUGUGGUUUCUGUGGCCAUUUUGGCUGUAUCUUAGGGAUCACCUUGCUGCUAAGAAUGGCAAAGAGUAUUUUAUUUCUAAAUUGUUUUUUUUUUUUGUGGAUGAACACUUUUAGUUUGCAGUAAUAUUUUUAAACGGCAGAUUUGUGGCAAUUGUGGUAUUUUUUUUAUUGUUUUAAAAUGCCUGGAGUCUUUCCUUUGCUGGCAGCAAUGAACAAAUUCAGUGAAUGACUAACUGGUGGAUUUCUCCUGAAGAAUAAACCCUACUGAUACACUCUUUGGUAUGGAACAUGAUUUUCAAAAUAAUAAUAAUGGCAAUAAUGAUGAUUUGAUUUCUUAUGCACCCUCCAGCUUGAUGUACCUGGAUGGGUUACAGGAAUUUAAGAUUACAAUAUCGAAAACAGUUUAAAACAAAUUACCGCCAAGAAUUGGGCAGCUCCUCUAUUUACAUAUCUCUGGUGUCUUAGGCCAGGGCAGGCAUAGACAAACUCGGCCCUCCAGAUGUUUUGGGACUACAACUCCCAUCAUCCCUAGCUAACAGGGAUGAUGGGAGUUGUAGUCCUAAAACAUAGGGAGGGCCAAGUUUGCUUGUGCCUGGGCCAGGGUAAAGAGGCACAUCUUCAUCACAGGAUGGAAACUAAACAAUGAAGGUGCCAGACACACCUUUGUGGAGAGGGAAUUCCAUACAUUAGGUCUGGCACAGAAAAUUCCCACUCCUAAGCUGCCAUGCGCUUAACUUCUGAGGGGUUGAAACGACCAAGAAGGCUCCCUCUGCUGAUUUCAACACCCAAGAGUGUCUGAGGGAAGGAAGUAGUAACUGAAGUAGAAGUCUGACAAGAUAAGGCAAAAGCAAAACCCCAAGUUUGGCUGCACAUUGCAGAGAAGCAACUAUAUUUAGAACACGUCACCUUUGUCAUUUCUCUUUCUUGUAACAUCCCUCUCUGUUCCUUGUCUUUCAUUAUCUCAGGCAAUUAUGAGGACUGAGGAAGACCAGCACUAAAUCCAAAUGCCAGGACAACACUGCAUGAAUUGGAAAUAAAUACGUCACCUCACUUGGUCUGACUUCUUGAGAAGAUGAUGUAUGGAGCACAUUCUAACCAAAACUUGAACCCUGGACUGUGAAGGGAAUGGCUCGCAACAUUUGGAUGACAAAGAGAAACUUCUCAUCCAUAUUUGCUGUCAAGCAGAUGACCAGUUCUGUUUACUGUCAGAAUAGCAACAUGGGAGAAACACAACACAUUUACUUCUCUUCUCGUGACGAAUCUAACCAUUGAUCCAUCUAAUUCAGAGUUGUGUAUCAUGACCCUACCUGAAAGUGCCAGGUGAUAAAACCUGCAAAGCAGGCAGUCUAGCAAUGGAUAAGAGAUGGGGAGAAAUUCAGUUCAAUUCGCAUUUCAAGGAGCACCUGCCUAAAUCACAGUUUGUGAAACAAUAUGAUAACCGAAAGAUAGACUUCUUUCAAAAUUUGCUGCAUUCUGAAAUGUAGUUCUCCAGCCAAGAAAUACCUAGAAAAAAUGUGCAUACUGGGGCAGGGUGUUCAUAAAAAGGCCUGUUUUAAGUGAACACGACAGACAAAACAAAUUCAGUA